rnacentral:tRNA from 1 species
AAAGAACUAGUUUAAAAUUAUAAAACAUUAAUUUGUCAGGUUAAAAUUAUUUAUAUUAAUGUUCUUUU